AACUCUUAUAAAUAGUGUGAAGACCACUUUAACCUGAAAAUGUUAAUUUACAUUUUUACCCCCAUUUUAUAUUUUGAUACUUUUGACUUGAAUUUUUUACCUUUCCUUUCUUUCCUCGGUGUAUUUCUGCCUAAUUAUUCAUCAUCUCCUCUCAAGCCUCAAUAACGUUUUUUUUUAUUUCAUUCACUUUCCUCCUUUAAUACCCGACUUCUCAAUAGCAAUCUCAUUUUUCAUCAUCUUAUCUUAUAUAUAUUUGAUCUCCUUCGUUCUAUUUCAGUAGAUGAUUGUUAGGUGUAAUUAAUCAUUAGGUAUAGAUUGUCCAAAUCAAGAUUAUAGUCGAUUUGUAUUCUUGUUGUUGAUUACCUAAGCUUCAAGCUUGUUCAUGUUGGUGAUGGUGAAAUUGGUAAUUAUUCUAUUCCGUUUUUGUUUAUAAUUUUAUAAAUUUCUGGGAGUUAUGAUUUAUUCAUAGAGAAACACAUGAUCUGGUAAAUUUGUUUCUGAAUUUUUUAGGUAUUUUAUCUAGGCUUGAUUUUACAAUUGUAAAUUGUAAUUAUUUUUGGGUUGAUUGCUUUAAUUGUUUUUUUUUUAUUAUAAAUAAACAAUUUGGAGGAAGGAUUGAUUUGUUGUCGUCACUUCAUAAUUCAGAACCUAAUAACUUUUCUUGCAAAUUUAGUAAUUUAUGAAAUUACAAUCGUUUUAGGCUGAGCUUGUUCAUUACGGAGGUAUGCUUAUUAACAAAUUUUGCAAGAAAUUCUUAUCAUACAAUAUACAGUUCCUUCUAGAAAGCUCUGAGUUACUCCGUCAAAUCUCGCGGAGUUGAGCUUCCGAGUCACCGAUUUUCGAAUUCAAACUCUGCUGCUUUAUCUACCAAAUACCAAUGGUAGAUAAGUGUUUCGAUUAUGAUCUUGUUAUUAUUGUCGUUGGUGUUGCCAUUCACGUCGUUGAGAAGGUAGAUAAAUUUUGUUGCUUUGUGUUAUUUGGUAAUUGGUAUCUAAUGAUAUAAUGACAUAUUGACAUAUUGUGCAAUGUGUUGGAAUUUAUGUUAUUAAGGAUUAAUUUUAGCUAAGGGGGCGUUUGGUUCACAGAGUGGUAUGGGGUUGGAAUCAGGAAUGGGGUUAAGGUGGUAUCGGGUUGGAACUUGAUACUUAAUACCAUGUGUUUGGUUUAAUUCUGGAAUGUAAUAUCUCACUAUUUUCUCCUUUUAUUUGAUACCUAAGGGAAUGGAAUGAGCCAAACCCACCUCCCCCCAAGGUUUCUAAACCCCAUACCUCAUGGGUUUGAGGUAUGGGUUUGAAAUUCAUAUUUUUGACAACCAGACAUAUGGUAUGGGUUUUAGUCAUUCUAAACCCAUACCUCAUACCUAUAUUUCGUGAACCAAACGCCCCCUAAUAAUGGUUGUGAUUUGCAUAGCAAUUUAGUAGCGGAUGUGCCGAAUCGCCGAUAAUUGUAUGUGUUUUGACUAUUUUGGGUGAGUUGUAAGCAAAUUUGGAUAUGCUAGCUAGGAAAGACUACAUUUGUUAGAAGUCAUCUUCUUCGUGAAUUAGAGGAGAAAUUUGAAAUUAAGUUUGUUAGUUGUUAAUUGAUUAUUGAGGUGAAUAAUUUGAUGGUUGAGAGUGUUUUGAUUGUACAACCACUUUUAUUGUCGAAGUUCAUCCAUUGGAUUUUCAUAAUUUUUCCCUCCAUUGAAAUUAUGUAUAACAAAAAUUAACCAUCACUACGCAGUAACAGUAAAAGGAAUAAGUCAAUUACUAAUAACUAAAUAGCUAAUACGAACGCCCACAGCAUUGAACAAUGAAGAUCUUAUCACAAAAUGAUAUUUAGAUUUUAUCAUUUACUUAUGUAAUACUAAUUUUCAAUCUCAUUAUAGAGCACCUAAGAUGGAGAUGAAUGAAUGAUAAAGACAAGUGUAUUCAUUUGUUUAAGGAUGAGUCUCUUACGUACAAGAGAGAUUAUUGUAAUCAAUAAUGGCUAAAGGUAGAUCAUUUCAGCAGAUUCUUAAGAAGAAGUUUCAAUAUCGUUCCAUUGUAACUAUAAAAAAAAUUGUUUAUUUAUUUAAAUCAUUUUUUUGAUUAAUAAAGGAUUUUUGAAUUA